rnacentral:tRNA from 1 species
GGUGUUGUAGCUCAGUGGUAGAGCACUUACCUAGCAUGUGUGAGGCCCUGGGUUAGAUCCUCAGCACCACAU